rnacentral:rRNA from 1 species
UACGUAGGGAGCAAGCGUUGUCCGGAAUCAUUGGGCGUAAAGCGCGCGUAGGUGGCUUCGUAAGUCCGCUGAUGGAAAGUCAAAGGCUCAACCCUUUGAAAGCCGGUGGAAUACUGUGAAGCUAGAGUCCGGAAGAGGCGAGUGGAAUUCCUGGUGUAGCGGGUGGAAAUGCGCAGAUAUCAGGAGGAACACCAAUAGCGAAGCAGCUCGCUGGGACGGUACUGACACUGAGGCGCGAAAGCGUGGGGAGCGAACAGG